rnacentral:lncRNA from 1 species
GGCUAGAUCCUCAGAUUCCGUGAAGGUCCCUGCUCACUCUCCUGUUGCCGGGAGUAUUUCAGUGGAGACAUUUGAGAAUCUGGCGUAUCCUUCUAAGGACAGCUUUGAUGACUGAACAACUGGAAGCCACAUUAAUGUUUUUAAAAUAUCUUACUGUCCUAUGUGACUGAGACUAAUCUAAGCUACAGAAACUUUGACUAUUCUGGGUUCCUAAUGUUUCUUUUUCUUAGUUUUUUAACUUCAAAAUUAAAAUAAUGUCAAUUAAUUUGCUCACCCUUUAUGGUCUGCUUUUCUUUUUUUAAACCUGAAACUGAUCCUAACAGAAUUAAUUUAGGGUAAUCUUUUGUAGGUUACUUCUACUUUGAGUUUGGUCUCGGUGUUCUAAAACUGUCUGCCAAGCACACUGAUGAAGAGCUUGCUUGUCUUAAAGAGUUUAGGAAGAGGGUAAAAGGUCAUCCUUUCUAAAACAUGCCCACACCCAGCACCUAGGCCCAUGGCUGAUUCACCAGUGUGUGAAAUAAGCUCGGCAGAGCCCCUAUGGCCACGAAUGCCUCCCCAGUCCCUUGGGCACCUGCUUGCUCUCCUGCUGCUUGGCUCUUUCGGGAGGGGUCUGUGAAAUGCUGCUAUUUCUAGCUUAAAGGGGGAGAGCCAGUGCCCCUCAGUGAAUCAGCAGUGAUGUGGAAGCCUAAUUUUUCAUCUGGGCAAGAAGUAUAAAGUUUGUCUAGCUGCCCAGGGGGAUUAUGUCCUUCCAAGAAACAGGCGUAACUUGAACCCCAGAGCAAGGGUGCUGCUGGGUCUCCAUCUUCUGUUUCAUCAGCCUUCAUCCUUGAGGUACUGGCUGGAGGAAAUACUGCAGUUUUGCCACCAGAUCUGAACUGGGAACUCCUGGGUGAAGCACAGAAAGUGUCUCAUUAUUUUAAUAGGACUUUGUGAUCAGAGAAACAGAAUUACACAGGCUUUCAGGAAAAUAAAAAUAACACGACCCUGCUAGCCUGGGACACUUAACUGAUUGUGUAUAUAAA